AGAGAGGACAUGCGCGCAUAUCAAUAAGCGGAGGAAAAGAAACUAACAAGGAUUCCCUUAGUAACGGCGAGUGAAGCGGGAAGAGCUCAAAUUUGAAAUCUUCAAGGUUUUACCUUGACGAAUUGUAGUUUAAAGAAGUGUUUUCUGCUGAAGUUUUGGUAAAAGUUCUUUGGAAUAGGACAUCAUAGAGGGUGAGAAUCCCGUAUUUGACCAUUAUUUUCAGCUUUGUGAUACACUUUCAAAGAGUCGGAUUGUUUGGGAAUGCAGUCCAAAAUGGGUGGUAAGUUUCAUCUAAAGCUAAAUAUUGGCGAGAGACCGAUAGCGAACAAGUAGCCGUGAGGGAAAGAUGAAAGGAACUUUGAAAAGAGAGUUAAACAGGUACGUGAAAUUGUCAAAAGGGAAGCGUUUGACACCAGUGUUGUUUUCUCGAAAAUCAAUUAAAAAUGGCUCGAUUUUGUAUUGUUGAGACCUUAAAAGCUCACUGUACAUUUUUCGUGUCUUUUUUAAUGCACUUUUCGUUUAACAAGUCAACAUCAGUUUCUUUUGUUGUAAAAGGGUCAUUGGAAGGUGGCUUUCUUUUCGGAGAAAGUGUUUAUAGCCUUUGGCCUCUGCAAUCGAAGAGACUGAGGUCUGCAGCGUAGACUCUUCGGGGUUAGAUACAUUUGUGCUAAGUUAUAGCUUUUUAUAGACAACUUGUUGACUAUAAUUAGUCUUGUAGCUUACUCGCUUAUGCUACUUUACCUACGCUUAGGAUGUUGAGUCGUAGAGCACGCAG
rnacentral:rRNA from 1 species